GGUACUCUCAUGUACCUCCUAUAAGAUGCAAAGAGCCGAUGGUUAUGGUGUUUAGAGAGGACCAAGACACAAACGAGGGAACAAAAACCAUGUCUUACACCGAGGACAUAGGAGAUCUUUGCAUAUUCCUUUCGAAAAGCGAACCUUUCUGCGUUGUGGCUAGCUCUUUCCUUUGCAUAUUCCUCUCGAAAAGUGAACCUUUCUGCGUUGUGGCCAGCUCUUUCCCUGGUCUCAAGCCCAACUCCAUCUACUUGAUGGGCCGUUGCUUUGCUGUUUACGAUAUAACCACUAAAACCUCCCGUCACUUUGAACGUCCCAAAGGUGUACCAGAAAGUCUUACUAAUUUCC
rnacentral:lncRNA from 1 species